GAGUAUCUGGUCCACUUCCCCUUCCCCCUGGUUGCUUGCUUUUGUUGCUACAUGUUUAAUUGCUUUAUUAGGCUCUUGCAUCUAGUCGAGCAUGCUAAAUGCUAUGUGCUAUGUGUUUACGAGUAUUUUGGCAUGUCUACUUGCUUUCAUAGCCAUGAAUGAAUGGAAUGGAUGAAUGUACGUUUCCGCUAGUCCAACGCUAGUCGGAAUUCAUAGAAUGG
rnacentral:lncRNA from 1 species